UAUUUGCCUUCGAAUUUUGGUUGUUGUUUUAGGAAUUUUCAAACAACAUUAAAAGGGAAUCAGGUGAAAUGCCUGAGCUGUACCCGCAACUGUAAGCUAUCAAGCUUGUUAUUAUCUACAAUACCACUGUCUCGUUUAAGUUAGAGAUGGGAAGGUGAAUAACAAGACGCAAGCCAGGAGACCUGCCUAAGUUCAUCAAUAAAA
rnacentral:ncRNA from 2 species